CUGUAUUGAAUCACACUAUACUCAGGCUUUGUCUACUUCUAUUGUGAUGGAAUAUGCUACAAGAAUUGACUCAUCGGUAUGGAGUUGUACUCCGAUUAUCUGAGCUCUUGCUCUUAAAGAAAUGUUUCUAGCCCUUGUAGGUAUGGAGAUAACCUUGAAAGUGUAACCAUAGUACAAACUGAUGCAGCGGUGCCUGCCAGAGCCUGGCAAGAAUGUGAAAAUAAGUGAGGGGGAGUUUGGCAUUUAAACCUGCUGAUCAGUGACCUUGUGGAAUCAGCAAUAGGACAGCAGGAGUUUCCAACAUCAGACUGACAUAAACCUUUACAAAUACAUUUUAAAAUCACAAAGCAACAUUUAAUGACAAGACAUCAGACCCUAAGAACAGCCAUAUUGGGUCAGACCAACAGCCCAUCCAACCCAGCAUCCGGUCUCUGACAAUGGAUAGUGCUAGACUCUUCAGAGGGAAUGAAGACAACAGGGCAAUUUUAAGUGAUCCAGCCUGUAGUCCAGUCCCAGGCUCUGGCAGUUGCACGCUUAGGGACACCCAGAGCAUGUCGUUACAUCCCUGAUCAUCUUGGCUAACAACCACUGAUGGACCUACUCCAUGACCUUAUUGAAUUCUUUUUGAACUCAGCUUUACUUUUUGCCUUCACAACAUCCUCUGGCAAUGAGUUCCACAGAUUGACUGUGCACUGUGUGAAGUACUUACGUUUGUUUUAAUCCUGCUGCCUAUGAAUUUCAUUGGGAGACUUCUAGUUUUUGUGUUAUGUGAAGGGGUAAAUCACACUUCCCUAUUCACCUUCUCCAUACCAUUCAUGAUUUUAGACCUCUAUCAUAUCCCCCUUAGUUGUCUCUUUUCUAAGCUGACCAGUCCCCGCCUUUUUAAUGUCUCCUUGUAUGGAAACUGUUCCAUAUUCAUUUUUAUUACAUUAGAAUUGGAAGCAGUGUGGUGAAAAUCUUUUUUGAAGUACCGUAACACAACCAGAGCUGUAUGUAAUACUCCAUGUGGGCAUACCAUGCAUUUAUAUAGUGGCAUUCUAGAUAUUUUCUGUCUUAUCUCCUUCUUAAAAGUUCUUAACAUUGUUAGCUUUUUUUUGACUGCUGCUGUAUAUUUAGCAGGUAUUUUCAGGGAACUAUCCACUAUGACUCCAAAAAUCCCGUCCUUGAAUGGUUAACAGCUAAUUUAAUGUGCAUCAUAGUGUGUGCACAAUUGGGAUUAUCUUUUAUAAUGUGUAUUACUUUGCAGUUAUCAACAUUGAAUUAUAUCUGCCAUUUUGUUUCCUGGUCACUCAGUUCAGUGAGACACCUCUGUAAUUCUUCUUAGUCAGCUUUCGACUUAACUACCUUGAAUAAUUUUAUAUUAUCUGCAAAUUUUGCCACCUCACUGUUUACCCCUUUUUUCACAUCAGUUAUGAAUAUGUUGAAUAGGACUGGUCCCAGUACAGACCCCUAGGGGACACCGCUAUUUACCUCUCUCCAUUCUGAAAAUUGACCAUGUAUUCCCACCCUUUGUCUCCUACUUUUUAACCAGUUACUGAUCCAUGAAAGGACCUUCCCUCUUAUCCCAUGACUCUACACAUUGCUUAAAAGCCUCUGGUGAGGAAAAAGUCCAAGUAUAUUAUGUCCUUCGAAUCACCGUUAUCCACAUGCUUGUUGAUCCCCUCAAAGAAUUCUAAUAGAUUGGUGAGGCAUGACUUUCCUUUACAAAAGCCAUGUUGACUCUCCCCCAACAUAUUGUUUUCAUUUAUGUAUCUGAUAAUUUUGUUCUUUCCUAGCUGCAACCAAUUUGACUGUUACUGAAGUUAGGCUUACCAGCCUGUAAUUCCCAAGAUCACCUCUGAAGCUUUAAUAAAUAAAAAAUAAAAAUAGGCAUUACAUUUGCUGCCCUCCUGUCUGGUAGAGAGGCUGAUUUAAGCAAUAGGUUAUAUAGCACAGUAGUAGUUAUGCAAUUUCAUAUUUGAGUUUUCAGGACUCUUGGCA